rnacentral:rRNA from 1 species
AUGAACGCUGGCGGCGUGCUUAACACAUGCAAGUCGAACGAAGCAUUUAAGACAGAUUACUUCGGUUUGAAGUCUUUUAUGACUGAGUGGCGGACGGGUGAGUAACGCGUGGGUAACCUGCCUCAUACAGGGGGAUAGCAGCUGGAAACGGCUGGUAAUACCGCAUAAGCGCACAGUACCACAUGGUACAGUGUGAAAAACUCCGGUGGUAUGGGAUGGACCCGCGUCUGAUUAGCUUGUUGGCGGGGUAACGGCCCACCAAGGCGACGAUCAGUAGCCGACCUGAGAGGGUGACCGGCCACAUUGGGACUGAGACACGGCCCAGACUCCUACGGGAGGCAGCAGUGGGGAAUAUUGCACAAUGGAGGAAACUCUGAUGCAGCGACGCCGCGUAAGUGAAGAAGUAGUUCGCUAUGUAAAGCUCUAUCAGCAGGGAAGAUAGUGACGGUACCUGACUAAGAAGCUCCGGCUAAAUACGUG